UGGUAUUGAAUCUAAUAUAUCAAUAUGAUAGUUUCUUUUAGAGUUUAGAUGUUUUUCUUAUUCUUCAUCUACGAAGAGGUUCAAGCUCAAAAUUCACAUUUCUAUGAGUACUAAGUUUGUCCUACCAAAAAUCAUAUCAUUUUUAUUAUAGGAAUAAUAAUCGGAACAACAAGCAUUCUUAUUAAAUGUGGGUAACAAUUAUUUGAAAUAAAUUCAAAUAAUGGGACAACUAUAGAUCACAUAUACUAGAUAAAAUAAAGGUGGCUACUGUUAUUUGACGUUAUGGUUAUUGGAUGUGAUUUUCAUUUCAACACAGUUGUCUUAGAUAUUUUCUUAAGUGAGUUAGAUUCGAGUGAUUUUCAAUCCCAUAAAUCUUUUGAGACUUAGAACUUCGAGAGCCUUGAUAUUUAAAAGAAUACUUAGAUGAGUUAAGAGAUCGGAGAGGCUUGGUAAGUGAGUGGACACUUUCAUUGUUUAGAGGCGUUUCUAAUGUGUAGUAUUUAUGCCAUAGUGAAAAUUCCUUCUGGGAGAAGGGACUGGACAUAGUUUUUUGAAUGCUUUUCAGGAGCUCGAGCAUGAUGUGCUUUCAAUAAAUCUUUCCAAGACUCCGAGCCUGAUGUAAAUUUCCGAGUUCUGACAAGACCCAAUGUGCGUUUGCGUUUCAAUUUUUCUUUUCUUUCUAGGAUCCUG